AGGCAAGUGGAACUACAUGUGUAGCGGUAAAAUGCGUAAAUAUAUGUAAGAACACCGGUGGCGAAGGCGGCUUGCUGGGCCUGUACUGACAUUGAGGCACGAAAGCGUGGGGAGCAAACAGGAUUAGAUACCCUGGUAGUCCACGCCGUAAACGAUGAGUACUAAGUGUUGCCGAUAGGCAGUGCUGAAGUUAACGCAUUAAGUACUCCGCCUGAGUAGUACGUACGCAAGUAUGAAACUUAAAGGAAUUGACGGGAGCCCGCACAAGCGGUGGAGCAUGUUGUUUAAUUCGACGAUACGCGAAGAACCUUACCAGGUCUUGACAUACCCUGCGAAGUUAUGGAGACAUAGCGGAGGUUAGCAGGGAUACAGGUGGUGCAUGGUUGUCGUCAGCUCGUGUCGUGAGAUGUUGGGUUAAGUCCCGCAACGAGCGCAACCCUUAUAUCUAGUUACCAGCAGUAAGAUGGGGACUCUAGAUAGACUGCCAUUGAUAAAAUGGAGGAAGGUGGGGAUGACGUCAAAUCAUCAUGCCCUUUAUGACCUGGGCUACAAACGUGCUACAAUGGCUGAAACAAAGAGAAGCGAAAUCGCGAGAUGGAGCGAACCUCAAAAAAGCAGUCUCAGUUCGGAUUGAAGUCUGCAACUCGACUUCAUGAAGUUGGAAUCGCUAGUAAUCGCGAAUCAGAAUGUCGCGGUGAAUACGUUCUCGGGCUUUGUACACACCGCCCGUCAAACCAUGAGAGUUUGUAAUACCCGAAGCCGGUGGCCUAACAGAAAUGAGGGAGCCGUCUAAGGUAGGACAGAUGAUUGGGGUUAAGUCGUAAC
rnacentral:rRNA from 1 species